UACGGAGGGGGCGAGCGUUGUCCGAAGUUACUGGGCGUAAAGGGCUCGUAGGCGGCCAACUAAGUCGGAUGUGAAAUCCCCAGGCUUAACCUGGGAACUGCAUCCGAUACUGGAUGGCUUGAAUUCGGGAGAGGGAUGCAGAAUUCCAGGUGUAGCGGUGAAAUGCGUAGAUAUCUGGAGGAAUACCGGUGGCGAAGGCGGCAUCCUGGACCGAGAUUGACGCUGAUGAGCGAAAGCGUGGGGAGCGAACAGG
rnacentral:rRNA from 1 species